rnacentral:rRNA from 1 species
CCUACGGGGGGCAGCAGUGAGGAAUAUUGGUCAAUGGACGAGAGUCUGAACCAGCCAAGUAGCAUGAAGGAUGACUGCCCUAUGGGUUGUAAACUUCUUUUAUAUGGGAAUAAAAUGUUCCACGUGUGGGAUUUUGUAUGUACCAUAUGAAUAAGGAUCGGCUAACUCCGUGCCAGCAGCCGCGGUAAUACGGAGGAUCCGAGCGUUAUCCGGAUUUAUUGGGUUUAAAGGGAGCGUAGGUGGAUUGUUAAGUCAGUUGUGAAAGUUUGCGGCUCAACCGUAAAAUUGCAGUUGAAACUGGCAGUCUUGAGUACAGUAGAGGUGGGCGGAAUUCGUGAUGUAGCGGUGAAAUGCUUAGAUAUCACGAAGAACUCCGAUUGCGAAGGCAGUUCACUGGACUGCAACUGACACUGAGGCUCGAAAGUGUGGGUAUCAAACAGGAUUAGAUACCCUUGUAGUC